ACAAAAAUUGUUGCGAUAUAGCAUAUGAUUUGUCAUUUGAACGACAUAAAAACUCAAUGUUGACGAUUUCGAAUGGCAAUCAUCUAAAAAAUGGUGGAUUCAAGAUCGAAUGACUUCAUGUCUGUAUUGGAAUGAACAGUCUGUGAUAUUCGAAGGAUAGACAUAACGCCAUAUGAAUUAUUUGCACCCAAAAAAGUAAACGAUGUGUUUGGGCUGGCUCGAAUGACAGUCAUUUGAAGCGCUUCAUGCGUUUGCGAGAUAAGUUUUUUCAUUAUUUCUGUGCAGUCGCAAAAAGUCAGUUCGCGACAUCAAAACGUGAAAAUACUGCUGCUUGUCAUCUUCAAGACUAACGUACCCUAGAAAAAUUGCUUUGGAGCUGAUUUCCUGGUAUUGGGAGAGAAACUAGCGUCCGGAUCAAAGGAUUUAUUUGCAUAUUUUCGAGCAAUGCCACUGACAUGGUGUCUUUCAACAUACAGGGAAUAGCCGUUAUUUAGUGCAAAUAACUGGUCAAAGCCAUAGUAUGCAAGGCAAAGAGGGAGUACUGGAAAGGGAGUGAAAUAUACAAUAGGAUGGAUGCCAAAUAGCUGUCAAUUGAUGACUAUGUUGAUCGAAACUAUUAUUCUGGUGAAAUGGUGGCACUAACGAUUCAAUAUCGUACGGGAAUCACAGCCCUAGGAACCACGAGUCCUGAGAGAUUGUAGUUACAGGUAUUCCUAUCCCAAGGUUUGGAAAAUUUCCACGCGACCGGCACUAGGUGAUGGCCAAAUCUACUGGUUUCACAUAGCCGUCUUAGUCCCUGAAUCAGAUUCGAGAGCUAGACGGAUCGCAUGAUAUGCAACAUGAGGAGCCAAUGUUCGAUCUGCUUUGGUUCUAUCCCGAUGACCAUGGCGGCUGAACUACAUUGCCCCACAAUGCUGAUUACCUUUGGAAAUGUACAAUCAAUUAAACAAUCUGACGCAGAAAACACCAGCACCGCACAAACGUAAGAGAUUCUGUGAUGGACCAACGUUGCCGCAAGAGAACACUGGUAGCAAUAGGUUUGUUCCAGUACCAGGAGAAACUGGAAGUACUCCGGAGAAAAUCGUUCCUGUAUUAUCUUCUUUUCUUUUCCUUCUUCUGGUAGCAAAUCGGAGUGAAAAGGAGCAAGAAUUUUUUGUUCCGGAGCAACAGGGAGUGAGUUCCGUGUACUGGAUCAGACCUAAUCAUUGUUAGCAGAAAGGAAACCACUCUUUUGCGCUCAAGCAAGAAACCAAGUCACCCAGCAAUUUUUAAGUUUACCGUAAAACUUGAAGGCACUGAGCUAGAUCAGCAACCUCCCGGUGCGAUUGUUAAAAAUCGAUCAACGAUCCAGUAGAA